GGCAGCAGUGGGGAAUCUUGCGCAAUGGGCGAAAGCCUGACGCAGCCAUGCCGCGUGAAUGAUGAAGGUCUUAGGAUUGUAAAAUUCUUUCACCGGGGACGAUAAUGACGGUACCCGGAGAAGAAGCCCCGGCUAACUUCGUGCCAGCAGCCGCGGUAAUACGAAGGGGGCUAGCGUUGCUCGGAAUUACUGGGCGUAAAGGGAGCGUAGGCGGACAUUUAAGUCAGGGGUGAAAUCCCGGGGCUCAACCUCGGAAUUGCCUUUGAUACUGGGUGUCUUGAGUGUGAGAGAGGUAUGUGGAACUCCGAGUGUAGAGGUGAAAUUCGUAGAUAUUCGGAAGAACACCAGUGGCGAAGGCGACAUACUGGCUCAUUACUGACGCUGAGGCUCGAAAGCGUGGGGAGCAAACAGGAUUAGAUACCCUGGUAGUCCACGCCGUAAACGAUGAUUGCUAGUUGUCGGGAUGCAUGCAUUUCGGUGACGCAGCUAACGCAUUAAGCAAUCCGCCUGGGGAGUACGGUCGCAAGAUUAAAACUCAAAGGAAUUGACGG
rnacentral:rRNA from 1 species